rnacentral:rRNA from 1 species
GUUAUCCGUGAAUUGACCUUCCCGUGAAGAGGCGGGAAUAUGACAAUAAGACGAGAAGACCCUAUGGAGCUUUAAUUAACCGACCCAAAGAGAUCUUGAUAAUCAACCGACAGGGAUAACAUACCUCUACCAUGGGCCGACAAUUUAGGUUGGGGUGACCUCGGAGAAUAAAACAACCUCCGAGUGAUUUAAAUCUAGACUAACUAGUCGAAAGUACUACAUCACUUAUUGAUCCAAAAACUUGAUCAACGGAACAAGUUACCCUAGGGAUAACAGCGCAAUCCUAUUUUAGAGUCCAUAUCGAAMYAGGAYAYUGCGCUGUUAUCCCUAGGGUAACYYGUUCCGYYGAUCAAGWWUYUGGAUCAAUAAGUGAYGYAGYACYYUCGACWAGUUAGUCUAGAUYUAAAUCACUCGGAGGYYGUUUUAUUCUCCGAGGUCACCCCAACCUAAAUYGUCGGCCCAUGGUAGAGGUAUGUUAUCCCUGUCGGUUGAUUAUCAAGAUCUCUUUGGGUCGGUUAAUUAAAGCUCCAUAGGGUCUUCUCGUCUUAUUGUCAUAUUCCCGCCUCUUCACGGGAAGGUCAAUUUCACGGAUAUGGAAGUAAGAGACAGUAAAGCUCCUCGACUACGCUGUUAUCCCUUGGGUAACUUGAUCAGUUGAUCAAGUUUUUGGAUCGAAAGUGAUGUAUUACUUUCGACUAGUUAGUCUAAAUUUAAAUCACUCGGAGGUUGUUUUAUUCUCCGAGGUCACCCCAACCUAAAUUGUCCGCCCAUGGUAGAGGUAUGUUAUCCCUGUCGGUUGAUUAUCAAGAUCUCUUUGGGUCGGUUAAUUAAAGCUCCAUAGGGUCUUCUCGUCUUAUUGUCAUAUUCCCGCCUCUUCACGGGAAGGUCAAUUUCACGGAUUGGAAGUAAGAGACAGUAAAGCCCUCG